UCUCCGUUGGUGAACCAGCGGAGGGAUCAUUACCGAGUUUACAACUCCCAAACCCAAUGUGAACGUUACCAAUCUGUUGCCUCGGCGGGAUUCUCUGCCCCGGGCGCGUCGCAGCCCCGGAUCCCAUGGCGCCCGCCGGAGGACCAACUCAAACUCUUUUUUCUCUCCGUCGCGGCCUACGUCGCGGCUCUGUUUUAUUUUUGCUCUGAGCCUUUCUCGGCGACCCUAGCGGGCGUCUCGAAAAUGAAUCAAAACUUUCAACAACGGAUCUCUUGGUUCUGGCAUCGAUGAAGAACGCAGCGAAAUGCGAUAAGUAAUGUGAAUUGCAGAAUUCAGUGAAUCAUCGAAUCUUUGAACGCACAUUGCGCCCGCCAGUAUUCUGGCGGGCAUGCCUGUCCGAGCGUCAUUUCAACCCUCGAACCCCUCCGGGGGGUCGGCGUUGGGGAUCGGCCCCUCACCGGGCCGCCCCCGAAAUACAGUGGCGGUCUCGCCGCAGCCUCUCCUGCGCAGUAGUUUGCACACUCGCACCGGGAGCGCGGCGCGGCCACAGCCGUAAAACACCCCAAACUCUGAAAUGUUGACCUCGGAUCAGGUAGGAAUACCCGCUGAACUUAA
rnacentral:rRNA from 1 species